GGCAGCGUGGCGCAACGGAUAACGCGUCUGCCCACGGAGAAGAAGAUUGCAGGUUCGAAUCUUGCCGUGGUCG
rnacentral:tRNA from 1 species